UACGUAGGUGGCAAGCGUUGUCCGGAAUUAUUGGGCGUAAAGCGCGCGCAGGUGGUUUCUUAAGUCUGAUGUGAAAGCCCACGGCUCAACCGUGGAGGGUCAUUGGAAACUGGGGAACUUGAGUGCAGGAGAGAAGAGUGGAAUUCCACGUGUAGCGGUGAAAUGCGUAGAGAUGUGGAGGAACACCAGUGGCGAAGGCGACUCUUUGGCCUGUAACUGACA
rnacentral:rRNA from 1 species